GCCGCCUUAGCUCAGUUGGCAGAGCGACGCACUCGUAAUGCGUAGGUCUCGGGUUCGACUCCCGAAGGCGGCU
rnacentral:tRNA from 1 species